rnacentral:misc_RNA from 1 species
GAUGAAGAACGCAUCGAAAUGCGAUAAGUAAUGUGAAUUGCAGAAUUCAGUGAAUCAUCGAAUCUUUGAACGCACAUUGCGCCCUCUGGUAUUCCGGGGGGCAUGCCUGUUCGAGCGUCAUUAUAACCACUCAAGCUCUCGCUUGGUAUUGGAGUUCGCGAUCUCGCGGCUCCUAAAAUCAGUGGCGGUGCCUGUCGGCUCUACGCGUAGUAAUACUCCUCGCGAUUGAGUCCGGUAGGUUUACUUGCCAGCAACCCCCAAUUUUUACAGGUUGACCUCGGAUCAGGUAGGGAUACCCGCUGAACUUAAGCAUAUCAAUAAGCGGAGGA